UUCCAGCUCCAAUAGCGUAUAUUAAAGUUGUUGCAGUUAAAACGCUCGUAGUCCACCAUUACAAAUAGCCCGUUGGUCUGGAUGAAAAUCCAGGACUGGAGGGGUGUUUGAUUUUGAGGGAGAUAGAAUCACGAUUCUACGCUCCCUUAGGUUACUGUGAGGAAAUUAGAGUGUUUAAGGCAGGCAGUUGCUUGAAUACGUUAGCAUGGAAUAACAAGACAGGGAUGUUUGGUCUUGUUGGUUUGACGAA
rnacentral:rRNA from 1 species